GGGGAGUUGAAGGACAUGACUCAUAUCCCAGGGCUUUGUAUUUUGGGAGGCUUGUUCCAUGUUGGGAGCAGCCAAUGUCCCACACGCCAGGCAGCCUCUUCCUUCCCUCACCCACACAUCUGAACUAGCUUUCCUGUUGUCAAGGCAACACUCAGACUGCUGAUGGUGAGUUGGCUUUGUCAGUGUCCAGCUACCUAAAGACAUGCCUCCUGGGGACCUGCAAUACCUGCUCGACCCGUUGCUCCCUGCAGAGGCAGAGCUGAUUUCAUCACUGUGGGUUGCACAGAUUAAAGGGAACACGGGCUCUGCUGUGGUUUCUUUUGCAGUGUGGACACGCUGCCCAGGUCAGGGGCUGCUCUUGGUUCCAGCUCUACAGCCCUAUGAUGACAGCCCCAAGCAAUGCUUCGCGCCAGCCUUGUGAGUCACAGCCGUCUGCACUGGAGUUAGUCUGGGGGUGUUUUAGGAACUCAGCUGCUGGAGUAUAGGGACAAGAGGCUGAAAUAGAAAGACCAUUGAAUGAAGCCUUCAUUCAGAAGCACACCUUUGGCUCUGCCCCUCUUGCCAAGGUGGAGUGAUGGAUUUCAUCAGGGAGAGGACCUGAUCUUUGGCAGAUAAAACACAGGCUGAAUCCUUGGCAGGAGCAGCCACGUUGGUGAUGGAACGAAGGUUGUAUUUGAAAGUAAUUCCUAAGCCCUGUGUUUCUGAUGGAUAAAUUCUGUGUCUUAACUGCAAACAGAGAGGAAAAGGCUGUGGUUGUGUCACAGUCAUGCUUGUUUCAGUUGCUCAACUGCCCUGAAAGACAACUUCUUUAUCAGCUUCAAGUAUUUCCCUGCUCUAUUUGCCUCAGCUGGAGUCUGCGAUGUGGCUACCCUGCAGUAUUGCCAUUGUGGGUGUUUCAGGUGAAUACACUUGGAAUAGAGCAGGCAGAUGAAGAUAAAACAGCUGCUUUGAGGUGAAAAUGAGAGCGUUCACGUUACACCCACCUCUUGAAUUUGUACCUGACUAUUCACAUUGAAAAGCUGAUUCUAAGAACUCAGCAUGUCCCGUCAGGAGCAGAAUAAUACCACAGAAACCCUGGCCAGCCUGAGUCUGAGUGAAUAUUGGGAAUUGUGAUUAACUUCUGAGGAAUGUAUCCGGAGCAAGUCAUGUUUUCUGGGCAUUUGUAGGUAAUAAUUUCAGCCCUUGGAUCUGUGAGUGAAGGUUGUCACCAGUUCUCACACAAAUAGAUGUGAAAGGCAUCAGAUAAAUACUGGCUUCUGACCUGUUCACUCGUGUGUAACGUGCUCAAGUGGCUGUGUUGACUGCAUAGGAGGAGCGAGCUGCAAAGGGAGCAACCAGAUCCCUCUAUGAACAUCUACAUUUGUGAGUGAGUGAUCCCAUUUCUUGGCUGGAAAAAGGCACUGAAGAACACUUUGUGUUGGGAAGCGCCACACAGAAGGAUGAGCUUUCUGGUCCACGUAACCUCAUGGAAGUAUUAGGCAUGAACAGUCUGUUUGCUCAACCAAAUAACUUGAGCGGCAAACUUGCACAAGGAUUAUGGGAUUGGAGAUGUCCCACAGCACAGCAGGGUUUGUAUUUAUCCAACCCACUUCAACAGGCCACAUUCCCAGGUUUUGGGGAGCAAAUUAAGCUGCCUUUAAAACAGGCUUCCCUCCUCUUGGUGCUACCCCACCAUAGAGCCCUGGGUCACUCCUGUACUGACCACAGGGAUGGGGCACUGGACUGAGGACCAGUUUGGCCCAGCCUGCCGUAAGUGCUGGCAAUGCACAAUGUGAUGCUGGGCAAUGCAUUAUGUGAUGCUGCUUCCCUCCCUCAGGGGCACCUCUCCUCCUUGUCUACCAGCAAUAGCAAUCCCAUGGCUGUUUCAACAGGACUGAUGGAAAACCAUACUUCUUUCUUUAUUUCCGUGGGUUGCUUUCCCUUCAAAUGAGCUGUCUGGACUGAUGCAGCCCCAUGGCUCCCUGGCUACAGAGGAACUGGGGAAGAAAAGCAGGGGAGCAAGAGAAAAGCAAAGCAGAGGAGGGAGAGAAAAGCAGGAGCACUGUUUUUGAGGCUGCAACACUAAAUUAGGAGAAACAACAAGCUGCACCUUGAGCCUCAGAAAAUCCAGCUGCGAUGCUGAGCUUUGCCUCUGGCUCAGCACUAAGACAGGGCUACCAAUAAAUCCCUUCUCCCACCUUCUGCAUGUCCUGAUUAGAUAGACUGUGACAGACGGGGGCUGUCACUUAUUAUGUGCUUGUUCAGUGCCUGGUACAAUGCAGCUCUGAUCUCAGCUCACACCCGUGCCUGCUGCAUGAACAAUAGCACUGAAAUGAGUCUAAUGGCUGGCAGUGGGGAGGUCACCAGCUGCCUGAUGUCUGCCUCCCCACCAGGAACCACUGCAUCCCAACUGGAAAAGGAGGAAUUUCCAGGCUCCAUCCCUGACACACUUGGGAAUUGCCCCUCAUUAGCUCAGCAGCUAGUUCAGGAGCCCACAUGGUUAUUUCCUUGGUGGAAGUGUAACUAAUAAGUGAAAUUAAUGUGUUGAUGUUAAUUUAA